rnacentral:rRNA from 1 species
AACGAACGCUGGCGGCAGGCCUAACACAUGCAAGUCGAACGCCCUAGCAAUAGGGAGUGGCGCACGGGUGCGUAACGCGUGGGAAUAUGCCCUUCACUGCGGAAUAACGUUUGGAAACGAACGCUAAUACCGCAUAAUGACUCCGGUCCAAAGAUUUAUCGGUGAAGGAUUAGCCCGCGUUAGAUUAGCUAGUUGGUGAGGUAAUGGCUCACCAAGGCGACGAUCUAUAGCUGGUCUGAGAGGAUGAUCAGCCACACUGGGACUGAGACACGGCCCAGACUCCUACGGGAGGCAGCAGUGAGGAAUAUUGGACAAUGGGCGCAAGCCUGAUCCAGCCAUGCCGCGUGAGUGAAGAAGGCCUU